AUAAUUUAUACGUCUAGAUAUUCUCGUGCUGUUAAACAACCGAUAAAAACAGGCCAGAAAUAUUAGUUUAGUGUGCGUGACAAGCUACGUCGUACACUCGCGAUUUGUAUGACACUUUGUGUUUGUGUGCGUGAAUUGCUCAAAAUAGAGGUGGGAACGAUGAUAGUUACAAAGGCAACAAGCACCCAGUGCAUCCAACCCGUCAGGAAUUACUGGCGAAACUCUUCAGGGAUUAUCAGUUCCAUAACUAAUUAUGAUCAUUGUACAUGACUUUAUUUACUUAACUGCUUGUAUAAGAUAGUAAUCAACAUAUUUAAAUUGCAAUGCUUUUGUGAUUAAAUUAUUUCACCUAGAGA